rnacentral:misc_RNA from 1 species
GAUGAAGAACGUAGCGAAAUGCGAUACGUAAUGUGAAUUGCAGAAUUCAGUGAAUCAUCGAAUCUUUGAACGCAUAUUGCGCUCUCUGGUAUUCCGGAGAGCAUGCUUGUUUGAGUAUCAGUAAACACCUCAACUCCCUUUUCUUUUUUGAAAUUGGAGCUGGACUUGAGUGAUCCCAACGCUUUCUUCCAAGAAAGUGGCGGGUUGCUUGAAAUGCAGGUGCAGCUGAAAUUUUCUCUGAGCUAUAAGCAUAUCUAUUUAGUCUGCCUAAAAAACAGAUUAUUACCUUUGCUGCAGCUAACAUAAAGGAGACUAGUUCUUGUGCUGACUGAUGCAGGAUUCACAGAGACAGCUUCGGCUGACUUUGUAAACUCGAUCUCAAAUCAAGUAAGACUACCCGCUGAACUUAAGCAUAUCAAUAAGCGGAGGA